rnacentral:tRNA from 1 species
GCGCCUGUAGCUUAGUGGAUAGAGCGUUGGCCUCCGGAGCCAAAAAUUCCGGUUCAAAUCCGGAUGGGCGCG